rnacentral:rRNA from 1 species
AGUGAACGCUGGCGGUAGGCCUAACACAUGCAAGUCGAACGGCAGCACAGUAAGAGCUUGCUCUUACGGGUGGCGAGUGGCGGACGGGUGAGGAAUACAUCGGAAUCUACUUUUUCGUGGGGGAUAACGUAGGGAAACUUACGCUAAUACCGCAUACGACCUACGGGUGAAAGCAGGGGAUCUUCGGACCUUGCGCGAUUGAAGGAGCCGAUGUCGGAUUAGCUAGUUGGCGGGGUAAAGGCCCACCAAGGCGACGAUCCGUAGCUGGUCUGAGAGGAUGAUCAGCCAGACUGGAACUGAGACACGGUCCAGACUCCUACGGGAGGCAGCAGUGGGGAAUAUUGGACAAUGGGCGCAAGCCUGAUCCAGCCAUACCGCGUGGGUGAAGAAGGACUUCGGGUUGUAAAGCCCUUUUGUUGGGAAAGAAAAGCAGCAGGUUAAUACCCCGCUGUUCUGACGGUACCCAAAGAAUAAGCACCGGCUAACUUCGUG